rnacentral:rRNA from 1 species
UAAUACGUAGGGUCCGAGCGUUGUCCGGAGUUACUGGGCGUAAAGCGCGCGCAGGUGGCUCGAUAAGACUGGCGUGAAAGCCCCCGGCUCAACCGGGGAGGGUCGUUGGUGACUGUCGAGCUUGAGGGCAGCAGGGGCAGGUGGAAUUCCCGGUGUAGUGGUGAAAUGCGUAGAGAUCGGGAGGAACACCCGUGGCGAAGGCGGCCUGCUGGGCUGACCCUGACACUGAGGCGCGAAGGCGUGGGGAGCGAACGGGAUUAGAUACCCCGGUAGUCCACGCAGUAAACGAUGCAGACUAGGCGUGGGAGGACUUGACCCCUUCCGUGCCGGAGCUAACGCGGUAAGUCUGCCGCCUGGGGAGUACGGCCGCAAGGCUA